GCGAGAGUAGCUCAGUUGGCAGAGCACCUGGUUGUGGCCCAGGGGGCCGUGGGUUCAAGUCCCGCCCCUCGCCCCA
rnacentral:tRNA from 1 species